rnacentral:rRNA from 1 species
GAUGAACGCUGGCGGCGUGCCUAACACAUGCAAGUCGAGCGAUUCUCUUCGGAGAAGAGCGGCGGACGGGUGCGUAACGCGUGGGUAACCUGCCCCGUACACACGGAUAACAUACCGAGCGGUAUGCUAAUACGAGAUAAUAUGCUUUUAUCGCAUGGUAGAAGUAUCAAAGUUGUGGCGGUACAGGAUGGACCCGCGUCUGAUUAGCUGGCUGGUAAGGUAACGGCUUACCAAGGCGACGAUCAGUAGCCGACCUGAGAGGGUGAUCGGCCACAUUGGAACUGAGACACGGUCCAAACUCCUACGGGAGGCAGCAGUGGGGAGUAUUGCACAAUGGGCGAAAGCCUGAUGCAGCAACGCCGCGUGGGCGAUGAAGGCCUUCGGGUCGUAAAGCUCUGUCCUCAAGGAAGAUAAUGACGGUACUUGAGGAGGAAGCCCCGGCUAACUACGUGCCAGCCGCCGCAGUAA